rnacentral:rRNA from 1 species
CUUGCUACAGGCUUAACACAUGCAAGUCGAGGGGCAGCAUGGUCUUAGCUUGCUAAGGCCGAUGGCGACCGGCGCACGGGUGAGUAACACGUAUCCAACCUGCCGUCUACUCUUGGACAGCCUUCUGAAAGGAAGAUUAAUACAAGAUGGCAUCAUGAGUCCGCAUGUUCACAUGAUUAAAGGUAUUCCGGUAGACGAUGGGGAUGCGUUCCAUUAGAUAGUAGGCGGGGUAACGGCCCACCUAGUCUUCGAUGGAUAGGGGUUCUGAGAGGAAGGUCCCCCACAUUGGAACUGAGACACGGUCCAAACUCCUACGGGAGGCAGCAGUGAGGAAUAUUGGUCAAUGGGCGAGAGCCUGAACCAGCCAAGUAGCGUGAAGGAUGACUGCCCUAUGGGUUGUAAACUUCUUUUAUAAAGGAAUAAAGUCGGGUAUGGAUACCCGUUUGCAUGUACUUUAUGAAUAAGGAUCGGCUAACUCCGUGCCAGCAGCCGCGGUAAUACGGAGGAUCCGAGCGUUAUCCGGAUUUAUUGGGUUUAAAGGGAGCGUAGAUGGAUGUUUAAGUCAGUUGUGAAAGUUUGCGGCUCAACCGUAAAAUUGCAGUUGAUACUGGAUAUCUUGAGUGCAGUUGAGGCAGGCGGAAUUCGUGGUGUAGCGGUGAAAUGCUUAGAUAUCACGAAGAACUCCGAUUGCGAAGGCAGCCUGCUAAGCUGCAACUGACAUUGAGGCUCGAAAGUGUGGGUAUCAAACAGGAUUAGAUACCCUGGUAGUCCACACGGUAAACGAUGAAUACUCGCUGUUUGCGAUAUACAGCAAGCGGCCAAGCGAAAGCGUUAAGUAUUCCACCUGGGGAGUACGCCGGCAACGGUGAAACUCAAAGGAAUUGACGGGGGCCCGCACAAGCGGAGGAACAUGUGGUUUAAUUCGAUGAUACGCGAGGAACCUUACCCGGGCUUAAAUUGCAGAUGAAUUACGGUGAAAGCCGUAAGCCGCAAGGCAUCUGUGAAGGUGCUGCAUGGUUGUCGUCAGCUCGUGCCGUGAGGUGUCGGCUUAAGUGCCAUAACGAGCGCAACCCUUGUUGUCAGUUACUAACAGGUUCCGCUGAGGACUCUGACAAGACUGCCAUCGUAAGAUGUGAGGAAGGUGGGGAUGACGUCAAAUCAGCACGGCCCUUACGUCCGGGGCUACACACGUGUUACAAUGGGGGGUACAGAGGGCCGCUACCACGCGAGUGGAUGCCAAUCCCCAAAACCUCUCUCAGUUCGGACUGGAGUCUGCAACCCGACUCCACGAAGCUGGAUUCGCUAGUAAUCGCGCAUCAGCCACGGCGCGGUGAAUACGUUCCCGGGCCUUGUACACACCGCCCGUCAAGCCAUGGGAGCCGGGGGUACCUGAAGUGCGUAACCGCGAGGAGCGCCCUAGGGUAAAACUGGUGACUGGG